rnacentral:rRNA from 1 species
UACGUAGGGUGCGAGCGUUGUCCGGAAUUACUGGGCGUAAAGCGCUCGUAGGCGGUUUGUCGCGUCGUCCGUGAAAACUCACAACUCAAUUGUGGGCGUGCGGGCGAUACGGGCAGACUGGAGUACUGCAGGGGAGACUGGAAUUCCUGGUGUAGCGGUGGAAUGCGCAGAUAUCAGGAGGAACACCGGUGGCGAAGGCGGGUCUCUGGGCAGUAACUGACGCUGAGGAGCGAAAGCGUGGGGAGCGAACAGG